rnacentral:tRNA from 1 species
AGGGAUGUAGCUCAGUGGUAGAGCACUUGCCUACCAUGCUUAAGGCUCUGAGUUCAAUCCCCAGUAGUACUG